GUGCAUCAUUGCAUUUUUUCUUUUCAAAAUAUUGCAGUUUUCCAUCUGUCAUUUGUAUUUCAUCAAACAAAAGCGAAAUUCUUGAAUUUUCUCAAAUCACCCUCCUAUGAAAUGAAUCAAAGUCUCCAGACUAUGUAUGCAGUAUGGCAGCACUCUGAGACUUGAUCUCCAUACGUGAACGAACGAAGACUCGCUUUACAAGGAGCAGUGUGUCAUCUUGCUUACCAAAGGUGGAAGAUGGAAACUUUCCUUUCCAUAUGGUGCUACAGAAUGACGUCAGUCAUGGAGAAGGACUUGAAAUCCCU
rnacentral:lncRNA from 1 species